rfam:Zea mays cultivar B73 chromosome 3, whole genome shotgun sequence.
CUGGAGGCUGUGAUGACCAAAAAUACCUACCUAUUUUCAGACUCCUGACGAUAGAAACCAAUGGAUCCUUCUGAGCCUUCCU